rnacentral:rRNA from 1 species
UACAGAGGGGGCAAGCGUUGUUCGGAAUUACUGGGCGUAAAGGGCGCGUAGGCGGCCUGCUAAGUCGAACGUGAAAUCCCCCGAGCUCAACCCAGGAACUGCGUCCGAUACUGGAAGGCUUGAAUCCGGGAGAGGGAUGCGGAAUUCCAGGUGUAGCGGUGAAAUGCGUAGAUAUCUGGAGGAACACCGGUGGCGAAGGCGGCAUCCUGGACCGGUAUUGACGCUGAGGCGCGAAAGCCAGGGGGAGCAAACGGG